CGAAAGAGGGAGUGGGGAGGGGGAGCCAGCCUGGACUUUUCGCCUCUCCCUCCCUCCGACGCGGCUUUCAUACUAAUCGAUGCCCGCCUUCCUCUCUCCUCCCGGCCCCAGCCUCACAUUUCGCCUCCCAACAGCCCUGACAGUACACCAUGCCUGUUAUAGACCAGCAAAUACAAUAGGAUCAGCUAGAGCAGAAUCCCACUUUUUCCUGGGAUCAGUCUUUGUGAGGACAACCAACACCGAACUCCCAGCCUUCAAGCUAAUCUGACCUGCAGCAGGGAGUUCCGCAGUUCUCCUUUGCCCGCUUAGGCCAGCUUCCAUGGAAUAUGGCCACAGCAGCAGCUUCAACCGAAAGAUUCUCCUUCUGGUUUACUUUCUUUCCCCUUCCUAACAUUGCAACUAAUCCCCCCAAUAAACUAUCAAAUUAAUUGUAA